rnacentral:rRNA from 1 species
AUUGAACGCUGGCGGCAGGCCUAACACAUGCAAGUCGAACGAGUGGCGGACGGGUGAGUAAUGUCUGGGAAACUGCCUGAUGGAGGGGGAUAACUACUGGAAACGGUAGCUAAUACCGCAUACCAUCGGAUGUGCCCAGAUGGGAUUAGCUAGUAGGUGGGGUAACGGCUCACCUAGGCGACGAUCCCUAGCUGGUCUGAGAGGAUGACCAGCCAUACGGGAACGGUGCAACGGUCCAGCUUCCUACGGGAGGAAGCAGGGGGGAAUAUUGCACAAGGGGCGAAAGCCUGAUGAAGCCAGGCCGCGGGAAUGAAGAGGGCUUUCGGGUGGUAAAGUACUUUCAGCGGGGAGGCUUUACCCGCAGAAGAAGCACCGGCUAACCCCGUGCCAGCAGCCGCGGUAAUAC